rnacentral:rRNA from 1 species
GAUGAACGCUGGCGGCGUGCUUAACACAUGCAAGUCGAGCGAAGCAGUUAAGUUGAUUUCUUCGGAUUGAUUCUUAACUGACUGAGCGGCGGACGGGUGAGUAACGCGUGGGUGACCUGCCCCAUACCGGGGGAUAACAGCUGGAAACGGCUGCUAAUACCGCAUAAGCGCACAGAGCUGCAUGGCUCGGUGUGAAAAACUCCGGUGGUAUGGGAUGGGCUCGCGUCUGAUUAGGCAGUUGGCGGGGUAACGGCCCACCAAACCGACGAUCAGUAGCCGGCCUGAGAGGGCGACCGGCCACAUUGGGACUGAGACACGGCCCAAACUCCUACGGGAGGCAGCAGUGGGGAAUAUUGCACAAUGGGGGAAACCCUGAUGCAGCGACGCCGCGUGAGCGAAGAAGUAUUUCGGUAUGUAAAGCUCUAUCAGCAGGGAAGAUAA